rnacentral:misc_RNA from 1 species
GAUGAAGAACGUAGCGAAAUGCGAUACGUAAUGUGAAUUGCAGAUUUCAGUGAAUCAUCGAAUCUUUGAACGCACAUUGCGCCCGCUAGUAUUCUGGCGGGCAUGCCUGUUCGAGCGUCAUUUCAACCUUCAAGCCCUAGGCUUGCGUUGGAGCCCUGCGGCUGCCGCAGGCUCCCAAAUCCAGUGGCGGGCUCGUCGUCGUACCGAGUGCAGUAAACAUCCUCGCUCAGGGAACGUGACGGGUUCUUGCCGUGAAACCCCCCACAUAUCAAGGUUGACCUCGGAUCAGGUAGGAAUACCCGCUGAACUUAAGCAUAUCAAUAAGCGGAGGA